AUGGGGGACUUUAACGAAAUUCUAUUCUCACAUGAGAAGGAAGGAGGGGCCCCUAGGCUGAUGGAGAUGAUGCAACAGUUCCAUGAUGCGUUAGUGGAUUGUGAACGGGAUGACAUUGACUUCUCCGGCGAUCAGUUUAUGUGGCGCAGAAGGAGAUUGAGAGAAAGGCUGCACAAAGGUGUUUGUAAUGGGGAACUCUAUGGUCUGUUCCCAAAUGCUAAAGUGAUCAACGUUGAACACAGCAAAUCGGACCUUGGACCGAUUGAUAGAGGCAAAGGUGUCCCAUCUUUCGAUGAGAAGGUCAUAAUCAUUUUGGAGGAGUAG
rnacentral:rRNA from 1 species